rnacentral:rRNA from 1 species
ACCUUCGGGGAACGAUAACGGCGUCGAGCGGCGGACGGGUGAGUAAUGCCUAGGAAAUUGCCCUGAUGUGGGGGAUAACCAUUGGAAACGAUGGCUAAUACCGCAUGAUGCCUACGGGCCAAAGAGGGGGACCUUCGGGCCUCUCGCGUCAGGAUAUGCCUAGGUGGGAUUAGCUAGUUGGUGAGGUAAGGGCUCACCAAGGCGACGAUCCCUAGCUGGUCUGAGAGGAUGAUCAGCCACACUGGAACUGAGACACGGUCCAGACUCCUACGGGAGGCAGCAGUGGGGAAUAUUGCACAAUGGGCGCAAGCCUGAUGCAGCCAUGCCGCGUGUGUGAAGAAGGCCUUCGGGUUGUAAAGCACUUUCAGUCGUGAGGAAGGUUGUGUAGUUAAUAGCUGCAUUAUUUGACGUUAGCGACAGAAGAAGCACCGGCUAACUCCGUGCCAGCAGCCGCGGUAAUACGGAGGGUGCGAGCGUUAAUCGGAAUUACUGGGCGUAAAGCGCAUGCAGGUGGUUUGUUAAGUCAGAUGUGAAAGCCCGGGGCUCAACCUCGGAAUAGCAUUUGAAACUGGCAGACUAGAGUACUGUAGAGGGGGGUAGAAUUUCAGGUGUAGCGGUGAAAUGCGUAGAGAUCUGAAGGAAUACCGGUGGCGAAGGCGGCCCCCUGGACAGAUACUGACACUCAGAUGCGAAAGCGUGGGGAGCAAACAGGAUUAGAUACCCUGGUAGUCCACGCCGUAAACGAUGUCUACUUGGAGGUUGUGGCCUUGAGCCGUGGCUUUCGGAGCUAACGCGUUAAGUAGACCGCCUGGGGAGUACGGUCGCAAGAUUAAAACUCAAAUGAAUUGACGGGGGCCCGCACAAGCGGUGGAGCAUGUGGUUUAAUUCGAUGCAACGCGAAGAACCUUACCUACUCUUGACAUCCAGAGAACUUUCCAGAGAUGGAUUGGUGCCUUCGGGAACUCUGAGACAGGUGCUGCAUGGCUGUCGUCAGCUCGUGUUGUGAAAUGUUGGGUUAAGUCCCGCAACGAGCGCAACCCUUAUCCUUGUUUGCCAGCGAGUAAUGUCGGGAACUCCAGGGAGACUGCCGGUGAUAAACCGGAGGAAGGUGGGGACGACGUCAAGUCAUCAUGGCCCUUACGAGUAGGGCUACACACGUGCUACAAUGGCGCAUACAGAGGGCGGCCAACUUGCGAAAGUGAGCGAAUCCCAAAAAGUGCGUCGUAGUCCGGAUUGGAGUCUGCAACUCGACUCCAUGAAGUCGGAAUCGCUAGUAAUCGUGGAUCAGAAUGCCACGGUGAAUACG